rnacentral:rRNA from 1 species
AUUGAACGCUGGCGGCAGGCCUAACACAUGCAAGUCGAACGAGUGGCGGACGGGUGAGUAAUGUCUGGGAACCUGCUCGAUGGAGGGGGAUAACUACUGGAAACGGUAGCUAAUACUGCAUACCAUAGGAUGUGGCCAGGUUGGAUUAGCUGGUAGGUGAGGUAACGGCUCACCAAGGCGCCGAUACCUAGCUGGUCUGAGAGGAGGACCAGCACCACUGGAACUGAGACAAGGUCCAGACUCCCACGGUAGGCAGCAGUGGGGAAUAUUGCACAAUGGGCGCAAGCCUGAUGCAGCCAUGCCGCGUGGAUGAAGAAGGUCUUCGGGUUGUAAAGUACUUUCAGUGGGGAGGCGUUACCCGCAGAAGAAGCACCGGCUAACUCCGGGCCAGCAGCCGCGGUAAUUC